GAUGAACGCUGGCGGCGUGCCUAAUACAUGCAAGUCGAGCGAAGCGGGGACGGGUGAGUAACUCGUGGAUAACCACCUAUAAGACUGUGAUAACUACGCGAAAGCGGAGCUAAACCGGCAACUUAUAGAUGGAGCGGCGCGGUAUUAGCUAGUUGGUAAUGUAACGGCUAACCAAGGCAACGAUGAAUAGCGGACCUGAGAGCGUGGUCGGCCACACUGGAACUUGGAAACGGUCCAGACUCCUACGGGAGGCAGCAGUAGGGAAUCUUCCACAAUGGGCGAAAGCCUGACGGAGGAACGCCGCGUGAGUGAUGAAGGUUUUCGGAUCGUAAAGCUCUGUUAUUAGUGAAGAGGUACUUAAUCAGAAAGCCACGGCUAACUACGUGCCAGCAGCCGCGGUAAUUC
rnacentral:rRNA from 1 species